CCUACGGGUGGCAGCAGUGGGGAAUAUUGCACAAUGGGGGAAACCCUGAUGCAGCGACGCAGCGUGAGCGAAGAAGUAUUUCGGUAUGUAAAGCUCUAUCAGCAGGAACGAGACAAGACGGUACCUGACUAAGAAGCCCCGGCUAACUACGUGCCAGCAGCCGCGGUAAUACGUAGGGGGCAAGCGUUAUCCGGAAUCACUGGGUGGAAAGGGAGCGUAGACGGCUGAGCAAGCCUGAAGUGAAAGGCGGGGGCCCAACCCCCGGACUGCUUGGGGAACUGUACGGCUGGAGUGCAGGAGAGGUAAGUGGAAUUCCUAGUGUAGCGGUGAAAUGCGUAGAUAUUAGGAGGAACACCAGUGGCGAAGGCGGCUUACUGGACUGUAACUGACGUUGAGGCUCGAAAGCGUGGGGAGCAAACAGGAUUAGAUACCCUAGUAGUC
rnacentral:rRNA from 1 species